rnacentral:rRNA from 1 species
CCCUUAGAUGUCCGGGGCCGCACGCGCGCUACACUGAAGGAAUCAGCGUGGCUUUCUCCCUGACCCGAAAGGGUUGGGAAACCCGUUGAAUCUCCUUCGUGAUAGGGAUUGGGGCUUGAAAUUGUUCCUCAUGAACGAGGAAUUCCCAGUAAGCGCGAGUCAUAAGCUCGCGUUGAUUACGUCCCUGCCCUUUGUACACACCGCCCGUCGCUACUACCGAUUGAACGGUUUAGUGAGGGCCUCGGAUUGGUCUCGGCCCGCUCUUUACCGGGCGGCGCCGUUGGUCGAGAAGACGCUCGAACUUGAUCGUUUAGAGGAAGUAAAAGUCGUAACA